GCCACCAGGCUGAAUGCCUGCUCUGAAUUUAAAUCGACCAGACUCAUUGACAACAGGUCUGGAGGGACUCUUUUAUCUGGAAGGAAAACUCACAGUUGGUCAAAGAGCCAAAUGAAUCGGCUUCGGGAACAGACAGCGUUCGAGGUGAGACGGGAACAGACAGCGUUCGAGGUGAGACGGGAACAGACAGCGUUCAAGGUGAGAUGGGAACAGACAGCGUUCGAGGUGAGACGGGAACAGACAGCGUUCAAGGUGAGACGGGAACAGACAGCGUUCAAGGUGAGACGGGAACAGACAGCGUUCGAGGUG